ensembl:lncRNA
UGUAGAUAUUCCAUAAAUAAUUGCCAUUUCCAACAGUAAUUUCCAACAUUAACAAUGUCUACACUGUAUUUCUGAUCAAUUUGAUGUUAUUUUAAUGGACAAUUUUCUUUCAAAAAGAAGGACAUUUCUAAGUGACCUGAACAUUUGAAGGGUGGUGUAUAUAUUCAAUAUAACCAUUUGAUCUCAAUUUUAAUUCAUGGCACAGGUAUAAUGAUUUUGAUCUUCUUGGGUUAUGGGUUGUUUUGAAUGAUGUAUAAGUAAUUGAGUUUAAAGCAGAUUAUGUUAAUGAACUGUAGCAAAGUCUACCUGUGUUCUACACAUGGGCAGCAGGAAUCUCUGGAUGUUUUUAAUCUGGUGGACUAAAGAUCCUCCUAUCUGUCCUUAAGAUCGGACAUGACUAAAGAAGCUUCAUGCGUAACUUUAUUUUGACCCAUAAGAAAAGGAGUGAAAUGUCUCAGCCCUUAAGUGUUCUACUCAACUAAUUGUGGAUACAGCUGAAAGAGACUCUUAGAGAAAUGUAGUCUGGACCAUCUAUGUCAGAACAUUGUCUUUAGUCUUAACCACUACAGUGAGUAGUUAAUGAACAAAUAUUUAUUUACUGUUUAUAUUUACAAAGUAGCUGGGAUGACUUAGGAGGAGACAGUGAUAUGGGUUGACCAGAAUUGGAGCCCGGUCUCCAGGGUUGGUGCGUGUGCAUAGACCCCCCUACCACAGGACCUGCAGUAAUGACCCAGGAUUCUACAUUGUACCAUGUUCUGCAUUAGAGUUUUGAGAGGUUUUCUUUUGUCUUUUUGCUGAUAUCUUCUCUCAAGGUCCUACACACAUCUAUGGAACUUAAUCUGUGCGAAACUCAAAGUGCCGAUUUAAAUACAAUUGUAUUUCUUUUGCUUUUAAGCUAUGUUCAUUUUUCAUUGAAAUAAAGUCACAUUUACUUUGAGUCCUUUACUUGCCACUUAAUGAGUUAGAGCUAGAACCACAAAUACAUUGGUCCAUCUCAGAUUGGGACUGCUAUUCACGGCUAUCUGCAAGAUUGAGACAGCACUGCACAUAGCUGCAAAUACAAUUAGAAUUGUUAGAAGGGACAACAGUUCCACCUAGAGGUGUUUAUGUGUUAC